GAAGAAGUGUCUCAGAGAUAGCCAGGGUCUCUUGGCGAUGGAGGCUGCCAGAAACAGGCAACUUGCUUGUGUUUCUGUGGUGUGACCUUCUAUGGCUGUUUUAUGAACCUGCGUGUAUUCUCCAAGAAGUAGAGGGCAAUGUCCCACCCCCCAAAAGCAGAGAAAACACAGAAGGAUGAAGAACUGUGAAAAGGUCAUGGACUUUGGAGUUGGGCAGAAGUGAGUGUGAGCUGCAUUGCCUCUUCCUGAUGCAGAAGCUUUGUGGCCAGCACUGCGUCUGUUAGAUGAGGCUGCUAUUGAAGAGAAGAAGAGAACAUUCCACGAUACAGAAAGGUCUCCAGGGUCCUGGCUAGCCUAGUCCUCAUCGGCCCCACCAUUCUUCCCUUCUCUAAAUUCCACCAAUAAUGCUUUUUCAUGGGUUCUCUAAGCCAGUGGUUCUCAACUUGUGGGUUGUGACCCCUUGGGUGGAGAUGUUAACUAUCUCUUCAUAGGAGUCACAUAGCAGAUAUCCAUCCUAUCAGAUUACAUUUGCAUUACAAUUUAUAUCUGUUCCAAAAUUACAGCUAUGAAAAUAACUUUAUAGUCAGGGGUCAUGACAACAUGAGGAACUUUUAAAGGGUCACAGCAUUAUGAAGGUUGAGAACCACUGCUCUGGGCUCUAAGACUAAGGGUGCCUGGGGAUCUGCAUACUUCUCUCUAUUCCAUUCUU
ensembl:lncRNA